rnacentral:rRNA from 1 species
CCUAACACAUGCAAGUCGAGCGGAUGACGGGAGCUUGCUCCUUGAUUCAGCGGCGGACGGGUGAGUAAUGCCUAGGAAUCUGCCUGGUAGUGGGGGACAACGUUUCGAAAGGAACGCUAAUACCGCAUACGUCCUACGGGAGAAAGCAGGGGACCUUCGGGCCUUGCGCUAUCAGAUGAGCCUAGGUCGGAUUAGCUAGUUGGUGAGGUAAUGGCUCACCAAGGCGACGAUCCGUAACUGGUCUGAGAGGAUGAUCAGUCACACUGGAACUGAGACACGGUCCAGACUCCUACGGGAGGCAGCAGUGGGGAAUAUUGGACAAUGGGCGAAAGCCUGAUCCAGCCAUGCCGCGUGUGUGAAGAAGGUCUUCGGAUUGUAAAGCACUUUAAGUUGGGGAGGAAGGGCAUUAACCUAAUACGUUAGUGUUUUGACGUUACCGACAGAAUAAGCACCGGCUAACUCUGUGCCAGCAGCCGCGGUAAUACAGAGGGUGCAAGCGUUAAUCGGAAUUACUGGGCGUAAAGCGCGCGU